rnacentral:rRNA from 1 species
AAAUUGAAGAGUUUGAUCAUGGCUCAGAUUGAACGCUGGCGGCAGGCCUAACACAUGCAAGUCGAACGGUAGCACAGAGAGCUUGCUCUCGGGUGACGAGUGGCGGACGGGUGAGUAAUGUCUGGGAAACUGCCUGAUGGAGGGGGAUAACUACUGGAAACGGUGGCUAAUACCGCAUAACGUCGCAAGACCAAAGAGGGGGACCUUCGGGCCUCUUGCCAUCAGAUGUGCCCAGAUGGGAUUAGCUAGUUGGUGAGGUAACGGCUCACCAAGGCGACGAUCCCUAGCUGGUCUGAGAGGAUGACCAGCCACACUGGAACUGAGACACGGUCCAGACUCCUACGGGAGGCAGCAGUGGGGAAUAUUGCACAAUGGGCGCAAGCCUGAUGCAGCCAUGCCGCGUGUAUGAAGAAGGCCUUCGGGUUGUAAAGUACUUUCAGCGGGGAGGAAGGUGUUGUGGUUAAUAACCACAGCAAUUGACGUUACCC